rnacentral:rRNA from 1 species
UACAGAGGUCCCAAGCGUUGUUCGGAUUCACUGGGCGUAAAGGGUGCGUAGGUGGCGAGGUAAGUCGGAUGUGAAAUCUCCAAGCUCAACUUGGAAAUGGCAUUGGAAACUACCUUGCUAGAGGUUUGGAGGGGGGACUGGAAUUCUCGGUGUAGCAGUGAAAUGCGUAGAUAUCGAGAGGAACACCGGUGGCGAAGGCGGGUCUCUGGGCAGUGAACUGACGCUGAGGAGCGAAAGCGUGGGGAGCGAACAGG